AUGGCGCAGGCGCAGCCCGUGCCGGCGAACUCCCCCGGGUCCGGAGACGCCGCGACCCGCCGUCGCCUCCACCGCACGAGGAGGAGGAGCAUCUUGCUGAACCUGCAUCAUCAUCAUCUGCACAAACUCGGCACACCGUCCUUGAAUGAGUCGCUCAGCGCUUCGGUGUCGGAGGCAGUAGCUCCUGGUUCACCUAUUUUGUCCCGGCUACCGCGUGACUGGGGGCUCCAAUUCUACAUCAUGGUGGAUCUUUCAGGAUCUUUCCACACGUAUCCUCAUUUGGGCGGGCCAUUCAAGAGCUUGCAGGAAGCUGACAAUGCUAUUGAUCGCCAUCUGCAUGACCGCCGGGUCACCAAAAUGUGCCCGGAGCAAGGCAGCGCUUCUCGACUGGAUAAGGUCGUACAACAAUGUCUUUACUGGCCUGAUGGCAGAAGGAAGAAGCGUUCAAAAUCUCAUGUGGUUGAGCAAAGCCAUAAUCGGAUGUGCCUAUUGGCUCAAGCUUUAGUAGACAAGUAUAACGAGAAUCACAAUCUUUUGGGGGAUCUUGCAAAUGAGCUCAAAGACGUUGUGCAAUAUCAAUCAAUUUGUGAGAACCGCGUGUGGUACUAUCAUCUCAAUAUCACUACAAGGGCUAAAGGAGCUGAUGGUGUCCCCCAUGGCGUCGACGAUCUAUUCUUCGCGGAAAUUAAACGUGUGCGACAGGGACAACAUGAAGAAUUGGUGGUCAGCUGUUUCUGCAUGCUCAAACCGACUGAUAACGGUUGCUGCUAUGGUUGUACCAACAACGGAUCUCCUGAUAUGAAGCACCCCAGCAGCACUGACAAAUACAUUGCUGGUCACUUGAAAGUGUAUCUGCCAUUUGGAUGCCGUAGGGAGUUUAGCGACACCGAUGAUGAGGNNNNAGCUGAGGCUAAGCUAAGAGAUAUGUAUGAGGGCCUUGAUGAACCAGAUUUUCUAGAGAAGCUCUUCACAUUCCCCACUUAUGUAACUCUGAGGAAAGACAGGAAGGGAACCUGA
rnacentral:rRNA from 1 species